rnacentral:rRNA from 1 species
CUUGGUGGUAGUAAGAUGCUUGGAGUGAAUGUCCUGCUAGCGGGCACGCGCGACGUGGGUACUGAUCUUGGUGGUAUUAANUCUUGGCACGAAUUGGAUGAGCGGGCGAAUGAAACACUUUGGGGAUGCCCUGGAACUAGUCAAACAUGACUUCCAAUGGAUUGAAUAUAGAGGACAACCUUUUUUUGUUUGCAAUAUCUUGGUGGUACUAAUCAAUGCCAGGAACAAUGUUAGUUCUCUCUGCUGUCUAACUGUCUGUAAAAAUGGACAACUUGACCAACUUGACUUCAAAUCAGGUAGGACUACCCGCUGAACUUAAGCAUAUCAAUAAGCGGAGGAAAAGAAACUAACAAGGAUUCCCCUAGUAACUGCGAGUGAAGCGGGAAAAGCUCAAAUUUAAAAUCUGGCAGAUGUUUGUCUGUCUGAGUUGUAACCUAGAGAAGUGUAACCUGUGCUGGACCAUGUACAAGUCUCCUGGAAUGGAGCAUCAUAGAGGGUGAGAAUCCCGUCUUUGACAUGGACUACCAGUGCACUGUGGUUACACACUCAACGAGUCGAGUUGUUUGGGAAUGCAGCUCUAAAUGGGUGGUAAAUUCCAUCUAAAGCUAAAUAUUGGCGAGAGACCGAUAGCGAACAAGUACCGUGAGGGAAAGAUGAAAAGAACUUUGGAAAGAGAGUUAAACAGUAUGUGAAAUUGUUGAAAGGGAAACACUUGAAGUCAGCUGCAUUGGCUGGGGAUCAAGCCAGCUUAUUUGCUGGGUGUACUUCCUGGUUGAUGGGCCAACAUCAGUUUUGACCAUCAGAGAAAGGCUAAGGGAAUGUGGCACCUUUAUAGGUGUGUUAUAGCCCUUGGUUGUAUGUGGUGGUUGGGACUGAGGACAGCAGC